rnacentral:rRNA from 1 species
UAGAGGUGUCAGAAAAGUUACCACAGGGAUAAUUGGCUUUUGGCAGCCAAGCAUUCAUAGAAACAUUGCUUUUUGAUCCUUCGAUGUCGACUCUUCCUAUAAUUGCAAAGCAAAAUUCACCAAGUGUUGGAUUGUACACCCACCAAUAGGGAAUAUGAGCUGGGUUUAGAUCAUUAUGAGAUAGGUUAGUUUUACCCUGCUGAUGAGCUAUGCCAUAAUAGUAAUUCAACUUAGUAUGAGAGGAACCAUUGAUUCACAAAAUUGGUCACUGCAUUUGGUUGAAAAGCCAAUGGCGCAAAGCUGCCAUGUGUAGAAUUAUGACUGAAUGCCUCUAAUUCAGAAUCCAUGCUAAAUGUGGUGCUUUCUACCUCCUUGAUUGUUACCCAAUUGAUAGUAGGGAUGUCUCAUAUGUUCCCAAGAGCAUGUAUCAAGAGCCUCCCUUGAGGCGAUAGAAGAAGCUGCCCCAAGGACUCUGAAUGGAAAUUCCAGACGUUUCAAGGAGAUGAAUCCAUUGCAAUGACUUAAAUAUGUGGCGAGGUAUUAUAAAGUGGUAGAGUAGCCCUUUGCUGCUACAAUCCACUGAGACUCAACCUUUUGCCAUAAUGAUU